rnacentral:lncRNA from 1 species
AAUACAGUUCAAGUUUCGGUAAUCAGGCGCCCACCUGGAGAGCAAGGGAAUACAGUUCAAGUUUUGGCAAUCAGGCGCCCACCUGGAGAGCAAGGGAAUACAGUUCAAGUUUCGGUAAUCAGGCGCCCACCUGGAGAGCACGGGAAUACAGUUCAAGUUCAGCAAUUAGGCGCCCACCUGGAGAGUAGGGGAAUAUAGUUCAAGUUUUGGCAAUCAGGCUCCCACAUGGAGAGCACGUGAAUACAGUUCAAGUUCAGCAAUCAAGCGCACACCUGGAGAGCACGGGAAUAUAUUUCAAUGUUUUGGCAAUCAGGCGCCCACCUGGAGACCAAGGGAAUACAGUUCAAUUUCAGCAAUCAGGCGCCC